AGAAGAUGUUAGGUUUGUUGAAAAAUGGUAACUUAUUCUUAUGGCGCUAAAGGUUUGAGAGUGUUAAUCCAAAUAUAUUUCAUUUCCUUCAAAAUUGUGUGUUUAUUAAUAUUUUGGUUAAAGAUCCUGUGAUACUUCAUUUGGUUUUGUGCCUUUCAAACAUAUAUCUCAUGUCCUGAUUUCUUGUUUCCCUUAUUUUCAUCAUUUACGGUUGUUUUCAUGUCAACUCUUACCUUAAGAAUGUACUUCUUAU
rnacentral:misc_RNA from 1 species